UCCCCUGAAAUUCUACGGCUCGUGGAAUUAAAUGCACCCGAAAAGUGGCAGUUGGGGAUUGGACAUCGAGUAGAAGACGGCUAUUGGAAAUCUUCAGCUGCGCAGCUUAAAAAAAUUGACGUGUUAUGGUCACCUCUGAGCCCUAGAAUCAAUAAAAAUGUCUCAUUUUCGAAAGCCUUGGGAUUCUGAACUUUGUACGGAUACAGUCUACCAUUCUGUUAAGUCAGCUGCACAUUCAACUUUCCUAAUUAUUUAUGGAUAAUUUAAAGCAUAAGGAGCAGCAGAGACAACGUCAAGAGCGAGCGAGAUUCAAGUUACGAGGAAGUAGAAAUGAAGAAAUUUUAUUAGAUAUUUCAGUAUGUAAGUUUCUUAUAAAGAAAUAAAAUUCUGAUAGUUACCUCUA